UACUCGGUUCGUAGCUGCUUUUUGAACAUUUUUUUUUUUGGUAACCCUAAGAUACCUCAUUAUAGAAGCGAUAUACGACUUUCUUCAAAUUCCUAACUGAACAUGUGCAGUCGAGGAGAUACGCUUCCACGACAUUUUAUUAUUUCCGCCAAGCAGACCAGAUUCUUCCUAAUGGUACAACUGUCCAGGCGUUCACGUCCUACGCUCGUCGAACUUACCAAUAUUUUUCCAAUUAACGGAGAAGUCACGGUUCGGAACCUUUUUACGUCAAACGUACCAGAAGGCGGUGAACAACGAUGCCGCAGUGAACCAGCCUUGAAACCGUUUGAUACUCCCUACAUGCUUUUCCAUCGAGGAGCGUGUUGAAAUUUCACCGUAUGUUUCCAGCCGCGUGUACGGCGAGUCAAAAGAAUUUCGAACGUCUUGGCGUGGGCAAUUCUUUCGAGUUUCUGGCGGUUAAGGCAAUUAGGUAAAGUCUCGAGGUAUAACCUACAACGUAAUGUCAUGGCGUGUGUAAUAAUUCGAGUACCACUGUCACUAGCCUGGAAAUGGAUAUUACGAAAGUUUGGUUUCACUUGAUUAGUAAAGAAGACAUGCAUAUAUAUUAUUUUUAAUUUUCAUUAAAAAAUUGCUAAUAAAUACAGUCAUAAUUAUAUAACGGUUCGUUACUGUUAAUAGACUAUUUUUGAAAUAGGAAUUACCAUCUUACGAAAUUCAAUAUGCAUUUAGUGACAUAGGUCAUGUCAUAGGUGGAAUCUUUCUGGCCGUAUACAAAAACCAGUCUCACGAAGAGUCGAGACGGCACUUCCGUUCGGAUACCGAAAUCGAUCGCUUCUCUCGUUGCUGGAUAUCGGGUCCGGUUAAGGGCAGGUCUUCAGGGCAAUGGCGUAUCCCGCUGCUGAAGAAAGCCGUACGAAGGAGGCACGUAAGGGCUCAAAGAUGGCUGAUGUGUGUAACCAACACCAUAGGCAGCCAUUUGUGAAACAUAAGGAAUCCGAUAGGGGUUUUGAUCUCGCGUCGACGGCAAGCAGGGUGCAGUAGGCGAGGACGUGCACGGAUGUUCAUUGGUGUCCGAAGAACUGGGAAUCGCGAGACGUACCAACGGACAGGCUCGUCCUGGACGGAUAUGGCCAAGAAGACUCCUAUGGAUACGCACAGAUGGAAUGCAGGUAUUCAAGAGUCGAUCGGAGUGAAAUCGUAAAGAGCAGAGAGGAAAUCGAUGCUGGGAAAAUUAUUGGUAUCUCAAGAGCGACAGAUGGUAUUCGACAGGGUAGUACGGGGCUGCGGGGGAUGCUUCUAGAAUCAAUCUAGACGGAAUGGUGCAUCGAUUGCCUUCUACCGCUAACCGAUCGUUCUAGAAAAACCUGGAACGUGGAUUUAUCGUCGAGACGACAAUGACUGAUCGGUACCAGGCUGGUCUACAUGUGGAUGCACUUUUCUAAUUUUCCAAUGACUCCUUUGCAUUUAUUUAAUAGAGACCAUGUUUCAGACAAAUAAUCUGAAUUCGAGAGUGAUUAUAUGCGUAUAUAUAGUAUAUGCAUACAUAUAGUAUCUGCAUACUAAGAAUCCUUAGCUUCAAUUACUGAUUCGAUAAGAUGGAUUUUCAAGUUCUCGAAAAUUCUCGAGAGGUCUUCACGAAUAAACCAAGAGCAUGUACACGGACCAUAACGAUCCCUUGUUAAUGUCUUAGCGAUGUCCGGGAAUGAAGGGUAGCUCGAGUGUUCCAAGCAUUGUCAAUGAGGGCUCCCCAGUUCUGAAAUAUUCAAGGAUUCGCCUCUAGGGUCUCGUUCGCUUAGAGCCAAGGAAGGGACCGACAAAUCUGAUAAGGACUUUCGAUCCUUUCCCGACUUUAGUCCUGAGAAUUGUGCGGGACUUCCCCUUCAUAGCUCGGACACCAUCAACUACAUUCAACUAUAUACGUAUAUACUAUGCCUAUAGUAACUUUGAUAUACUCGUUAUUUUCAAGAGUUUUUCGCAGCAACAAAGCCUUUAUGUAAUAGUUAAAUAUAUAUAUGAUGUAUAUGUAUAUAAGAAAUGAAUGAACUCAAGAGU